GUCUAUAUGAAGAUAAACAUAGUCUAACGCUGCUCACUGACAAAUGUUUAAGAGCCGCAGUAUUUUGACUGUGCGAAGGUAGCAUAAUAGAUUGUCUUUUAAUUGGAGGCUUGAAUGAAUGGUUGGACAAAGGAUCAUCUGUUUCUUAUAUAAAUAUUGAAUUUAACUUUUAAGUGAAAAGGCUUAAAUUUUUCUAAUAGACGAUAAGACCCUAUAAAUCUUUACAAUUAUUUUGUAUUAAAUUUUUAUUUAUCUUUAUAUAAAAUUUCUUAUAAAAACUUGUUGCGCUGGGGCGGCGUAGAUAUAUAAAAAAACUGUCUGUAUUCUUCAUUCAGAAAUAGUUGAUUAGUUUUACUUGAUCCUUUAUUUAGAUUAAAAGACUAAGAUACUUUAGGGAUAACAGCGUUAUUUUUUUUGAGAGUUCUUAUCGAAAAAAAAGUUUGCGACCUCGAUGUUGAAUUAAAGUUUUCUUAUGGUGUAGCAGCUAUAAAGAAAAGUCUGUUCGACUUUUAAAACUUUACAUGAUUUGAGUUCAGACCGGUGUAAG
rnacentral:rRNA from 1 species